GAAAAUUCCAAAGAAUGCUCUCAUUGCAUGAUUUCAUCUAGACUCAAAACAAUGGUUGCUCCAGAUCAGGAAAACAAUGCUUAGCUGGCAGCCACCUGACUUAUGUGACAAUGGGUCACUAUUACAGGGUGUUUUAUGAAACGGCUGAGUGAAAUGGCUCGACUAAAGACUCUUACUGCCAAGCCUGAUAAUCCGAGUUCAAGUCAUGGCACCUGCAAGGUAGAAGGGGAGAAUCAAACUAUCCUCCAACUUCCAUGUGUGCCCUCACAAUAGGUGGAUCUUCUGACAUGAAACAGAGAUUUGGAUCUUACUUUAACCAGCAUGCUUGGGUUUAGACAAGGAGAGAGCCAUACUCCAACUGCAAAACCAGCUUUAGUCAUUAAUUGGACUGGGAUUCAAAAAGACCAUUUGUAUUAUAUAUCUAUAGAGAAAAGCAGAAAAAAAUGUUUGGGAAGAUUUUAUUCUGUUGGAAAUGUAAUUUGGAUUACAAACUGCUCAUAACAUUUUCAAGGUGAUGAGCUGAGAUAUCCAGCCUCACAGACUGGUCUAGUUAGGACUUUAGACAAGGCUGCACUUUUCCAUUAUGCAAAGACUGUACAAAAAUGAUACAGCAUGACAAUUAACCCAAUUUUUUUCUUUUCAGUAUACCUUAAAGAUGCCAUCAUCCCAAGAUACAGGAAGUA
rnacentral:lncRNA from 1 species